CCCACCACCAGCCCUCAGAACUGAUACAGUAAUUGUGCAUUUUGUACACGUUACACUCUCCACCCAAACCUCUCCAGUCGCUUUGAUUCCUGUUUAAUGCCUUACCUUGCCUUUGGGGCUUCUUUUACAAAGACACCUGAGAGAGACAGACCUGUGAAUCACUGCUGAGGCUAUGCAGCCUGAUGCCUGGAGGCCUCACAGAGUCGCUAAGGUCGGAACAGACCACUGCGGCCAUCUAGGCCGACUGUCAGCCCAUCCCCACCAAACCACGUGCCUGACUGCCACACUCCCACGUUUCUCUAAAGCACAUCGCGCACGGACCCAAAAGCUCUGCCCUCCAGAAUCGCCGUUCUGCCCCUACGGCCAAAUUCAGCGCUGUGCUGAGGCCUCAAACCCAGAUAUCGUGUGCUACCUCCCAAAAGCCGGGGCACCAACACCCGGAGCCACAGGUCCCCAGCUCAGCCACCUUAAGCACCGCGCUGCACGGAGCAGGGAGACCAAGUUAGCAACACAUCACGGCCCAGGGUAAUCCCCGAGGCAGCACCGAUACCAGUCGGUUUCCACACCGAAACACCACGAAAGGUACUUUUACUAAAAUAGGUUCCAUAGCGAAAAAAGCCGACGAUAAAACCAUUUUUUGGGGCUUCGGCUGAGUGUGGCAUGAGCACGUGUUUAGCUACACGGGUCACACAACAAGCACCAAGAAACGCAACCCUAAGCAGCAGCACGAUUUAGGAGAACCGUUCGCCCAGCAGCCGCUCAGGGACACGGAGCGCAGCAGAAAGGGGCGCCCGCAGGCAGUCGGCAACCUCCGACAGAGCUCCGGGACCGGUCGAGCAGCGACGGGAAAGGCUUCCGAGCGCUCGCAGCCACUCUGCGCGGCGCGGCACAACAGGAAGGAUGCAAAGCCACUGACACGUGGGGACAUGGAAAUGAAGGAGGCUGGGGAAAGAAUUGAACAAAGAAUGUUAUGACUAUUGACCUGAGACAGUCUCCUGGAAAUAAUCUGACAGCAGGGAGCAGCAAGUCCUUUUCAAAACCAACGAAGCAAGAAAAUGAUGCCGACUAAGAUAUUGUGAGAGAUAUGGGGGAGACAGAUAAAAAGGUGGAGAAGGAGGAGAACCAAUGAAACUACACCUUAACCUCAUAUCUAACAUUCCUUUAAAAGAAAGUAACGUUUUCAAGGCCAUCACUUAAUGACAUCUCUGCUGUAACUAAUCCUCAUUGCAAAACAGACACUUGUCUGCAGACAGCUGGCUUGCUUACCCCAUGGCUGCAGGGUUUUUGCACAUGGUGCUAUGUAGCUUUGAAUUAUAAUGGCCUGUGGUAGCUUUGGGAAACAAGGUGGCAUUUUUGUGAACUUCAUCUCAGCUGAUGUUCUUCACCUGAGGAUACAUCUUUUCAGUAAAAGGCCACUGCCUGUGACACAGAAAUACUGAAAUGUUUGCAUGUUUGUAUUAAGAAAAACCCAACAACCACAUACAAAGCAAAGGCAUUCCUAGUCUUGAUGAGAUCAUCAUCAGCCAGCAUCUCAGGACCACUUCCAUAGUAAAAUUAUGGCUUCACGGGAACCCUGAGGAUGAAGAGGACCACGCUGGGAUGCAUUUUAUCCAACCUGUACCUAACAGUGACAAAAAGAUGUAACAAUGGGCCUAUGUGCUCUCUUAAAUAAGUAACAGUCACCAUCUUAAAUAGUUUAAGAAUGACUGAAGCCCUCACGUGUUUGUAUUGGAGAAAGUUCCCACUCAGGAUUUGGGUUUUGUUUGUUCUUAAUGAUUUUUGGUUCUUUACACCGACCUCCCGUUCUUUUUGUCCAUAUCCACAUGCACACAGAGAAGUUUCUCACUGAAAUGCAAAACCUUCAGUGUUAGUUCAUCUCUUGAGUUAAUCCAUUUACACCAAAAGCCAAGAGACUGAAAUUAUUACUGUGGAGGGCUGGCAGAGGGGCUCCGUUGGGAAGCAGAGCAGUGGAUUUGAAUUCCCUGUCCCUCAUUGUUUUCCCACAUUGUCUGCUAAUCUAAACUGCAUGUAAACAAAGGGGAUUUCAUUAGCAAAACUGAAGCUGUAGAUGAACCUUAGCUUUUAUUUAUGGCAUUUCUUGGUGAAACAGAGGCUUUUUUUCUCCCCAUCACAUCAUGAGGGAGUGCAGAGUCAUUAGAUAAAUGUUCUAAAGCACCAGAAAUCACCUAUUUAUUCUUAUUCAGAUAUGUGUUGCCACUGUCACACAGCAAUUUCAUGACUAAGUUUGUACACCUUGAUGUUUUUAACCAUGAUAUCACACUGUAGGAUUCCUUUUUAAGAAAGAACUUCUUGGUUAUUUCAAGGAGUAAAACCCAGAACAGAGCAAGUGGAUUUUCAGAACUUGGAAUCGUUAUCUAUAAAAGAAAUUUCCUCUGUUGUACCAAAGGCAGAUGUCCUGCAGCAGCACUGAUAGCAAGGUACAGAAAACCAAAUCUAAACUUUUGAUGAAAUAAUGGCAGUACUUUUCCAUGCAUUCAGGAUCAAAAAAAUAGCCGAGUAAACGUAAUAAAGGAAUGAAGAUAAAGCCCAAGCAAAGAUGCCACAAACCACCUCUGGGAUUAAAGCAAGCAUGUGUAAUGGGAGCCCGAAGGGUAAUGUAUUCAGGAAGCUGUAAGUGCCUGAAAAUGAAGGCUUAGAAUGAAAGCACCUCUUCAGCCAUAACUCUGGUGUCAGUAACGUAAAGCCAUAAUCUUUUUUCCUAUUUUCCAACUAUUAUCUAAGCACUAAGUGUCAGUUAAGUUGUAACAGAUCAAGAAUUUUCAGUGGGCUGGAAAUCAUCUUUUGUUGCCUCAUUUCAUAUAUAUAGGGAUGUUAAGAACAAAAUUACAAUUUUGUCAUUGUGUUUAACUGAUCUUUGGUUUACUGCUGCUGCGACAACCUUUUAAGGAGAGACUGUGAAAUGAAAUGAUACUUCAGCACCCUAAUAGACUGAAAGUGUCUUUUUUUUUUUUUUCCUUUUUGAACCAGAAUUUAACACCAGAAAGGUUAAAGCCUAGAUCUGUGAUAAAAGCAUGAGAGACGCAUAUUUGUUAGCAGGCACAUAAAGGGAUCCUGGUUCAAACCCUUCUCGUCUUUUGAGGGCUGACAGACAAAAUGUAGCUGUCCGGAGUCAAAGCGUGCCUUUGCCUUACAAAUCUUGUUAAUAACAGAAAAGAUAGUCUACUUUUGCUUAACUGUUUUACUGAAGUACUGCAACAGAGAAAGUUAUGCACAAUGUGCUCCCCAUCCACAGGUUCUAACGUGUAUAACACUUUAUUCUCUUUAGAAGGUAUAGAGGCAAGUGAUAAAUAUAUAUAUGUCAAUUAAAAAAAAAUUAUGUUGAGGUACCUUAAUUUAAGUAAUGUUUGGUCACUGCUUGCAUGAGAGAAAUGGAGAGGAUGAGGUGGGAAAAAUAGCCAUGCCAGUCCUACCAGGGUAUUAAGUUGGCUUUAUGUAAAGGUUUGUAAAUCAAAAUACACCAUAGGCUGUGUGUUCAAGUAAGUAG
ensembl:lncRNA